rnacentral:misc_RNA from 1 species
CGCACAUUGCGCCCCUCGGUAUUCCGUGGGGCAUGCCUGUUCGAGCGUCAUUUAACCCCUCAAGCCUAGCUUGGUAUUGGGUGCUUGUCCCGCCUCUCGCGCGGCGACUCACCUCAAAGUCAUUGGCAGCCCGCAUCUCGCCGGCCGUGAGCGCAGCACAGACGCGCUCUUGGCAACGACGGAUCGGCUCUCCAAAAGCUUAUUUCAACCACUGACCUCGGAUCAGGUAGGGAUACCCGCUGAACUUAA